AUUGAACGCUAGCGGGAUGCUUUACACAUGCAAGUCGAACGGCAGCGCGGACUUCGGUCUGGCGGCGAGUGGCGAACGGGUGAGUAAUGUAUCGUAACGUGCCCAGUAGCGGGGGAUAACUACGCGAAAGCGUAGCUAAUACCGCAUACGCCCUACGGGGGAAAGCAGGGGAUCGUAAGACCUUGCACUAUUGGAGCGGCCGAUAUCGGAUUAGCUAGUUGGUGAGGUAACGGCUCACCAAGGCGACGAUCCGUAGCUGGUUUGAGAGGACGACCAGCCACACUGGGACUGAGACACGGCCCAGACUCCUACGGGAGGCAGCAGUGGGGAAUUUUGGACAAUGGGGGCAACCCUGAUCCAGCCAUCCCGCGUGUGCGAUGAAGGCCUUCGGGUUGUAAAGCACUUUUGGCAGGAAAGAAACGUCGCGGGCUAAUACCCCGUGGAACUGACGGUACCUGCAGAAUAAGCACCGGCUAACUACGUG
rnacentral:rRNA from 1 species